rnacentral:pre_miRNA from 12 species
CUGGCCACCUGGCUCUGAGAACUGAAUUCCAUAGGCUGUGAGCUUGAGCAAACAGCCUAGGGACUCAGUUCUGGUGCCCGGCUGUGCUCU